rnacentral:lncRNA from 1 species
AAAUAGCCACGGUAUCAUCCAUUUCAAAGGAGAACAAGAUACAGUUCACAGACCUCCAUUUUUAUUCCAUUUUUUUUUUUACCAUCAACAACAUGCAUACGCAGUGAAUACAACUUGCACACACAGAGAUCAUAUUUCUUUUUCUUUCCUUCACUCAACACAUACUUCCUUUUUGGGAUAUACACAAAAAACAGGCACGACUAUAUUUUUUUAUUCCCUCUCUCCGCUAACCCGCCGGAGAACUCACCACUGGCGAACCCAUUGCCGGCCUCCUUUCUCCGAUCUCCAAGCAUCGAACUUCCAGCCAUCGCCACCGUAAAACCACCAGCUACACCAACAAAAUCAGCCGCCAUCAACCACCCACGUCCAGAUCUGCCUCCACCAGAUCCGACGAACCACCAGCGGCGAAGAAACGCCAACAACCCGCCGAUCUCCAACACCACACCACCAACGCACUACCAUCGUCACUGCUUUACCAUACAUGGCCAGACUUGGGCAAUAUUUCGUUUCUCCGGCGUUGCUCCGGUGAACACCACCGAAGCAACGCCAUUAACAGCUUUCUGUGGUCUCCGAUCUUGAGGCUUUGAAUUUUUGGACAAACUCCCUUUGGAGCAUUUGUUUACAUGUUUCCACAUCUCUCCAAUAAUUUGGUUUGUUGAAUCCUUGCUUGUUGUGGCUGAUUUGUUUAUUUUGGGAUCACUUUUGAUUUUUGACUCCAUUAUUGUGUUUUGCACGUUUGAGACAGGUUUUGGUGGAACUUUAUCUCCAUUACUCAUGUUUGGAUAUGUGACUGAUAAAUAGAUAUUACACAUACAUGGGGAAUGAAAAAAUUAUUAUUAAUUUUGAGGCCUCUGUAAAUAAAAGAUAGAUUGAUUAUUACGUAUACGUAAUAAAAUAAAUAUUUUGGACGAUGAUGAAAUCUUAUAACAACACAAGAUUUUACAAUUCAUAUUUUGGCAAGACGAUUUAGGACGAUCAAUUAAUUGAGCAACCAUUUUGUAGCAAAAUGAGUUAGGACGGUCAAUUAAUUAAGCAAUUAUUUCGCGGCUAUGAUUUUAUGAGUCCACUUUUUAACAAAAAAUAUAUUUUUAAAUACUUAUAUGCACAUAUAUUUGUUAAAUUUAUUUUGAUUAUUUUUACAAAUAUUUAUACAGGUUAUUUUGGAAUACUCAUCGGGAGUUGCAGUCAAAAGAGUCCUUAAAUUUGAUAUUGUAUUUUAUAUUUCUACACUUGUACAAAUAACAAAAAUAGUGAAACUUUAUUUUUGGGUGUUGGGUGAGAUUUUCUUUAUUUAUACAAUUUCAUCUCGCGUUUAUGUAAACUUAGAGCGUUAAUAUUUACACU